AACGAACGCUGGCGGCAUGCCUAACACAUGCAAGUCGAACGAAGCCUUCGGGCUUAGUGGCGCACGGGUGCGUAACGCGUGGGAAUCUGCCUCUUGCUUCGGAAUAACAGUUAGAAAUGACUGCUAAUACCGGAUGAUGUCUUCGGACCAAAGAUUUAUCGGCAAGAGAUGAGCCCGCGUAGGAUUAGGUAGUUGGUGGGGUAAAGGCCUACCAAGCCGACGAUCCUUAGCUGGUCUGAGAGGAUGAUCAGCCACACUGGGACUGAGACACGGCCCAGACUCCUACGGGAGGCAGCAGUGGGGAAUAUUGGACAAUGGGGGCAACCCUGAUCCAGCAAUGCCGCGUGAGUGAUGAAGGCCUUAGGGUUGUAAAGCUCUUUUACCAGGGAUGAUAAUGACAGUACCUGGAGAAUAAGCUCCGGCUAACUCCGUGCCAGCAGCCGCCGUAACAC
rnacentral:rRNA from 1 species